AGUACAAGCAAGUGCGUACCCCUUUGCCCUAUCUGAGAGCUCUCCACGAUACCGAGUAGCGCGUGAGGGUUGGACGUUCUGGCUUGUUUCAUCUCUACCGAUUGGACCACGUGGCGGCGCAUUAAAAAAAAGAUUGCAGGGAGGGGAAAAGAGAUCGCGUCCAGGGCAGAGAAACCCUAUCCACAUUUCCUCACUGCUGCCGCCGCCUCUCUCUUCCUGGCACCCCUCCACCACUCGUUCACACGGCAGCGGCGUCCAUGGUGCGGGCAAGCAGGUGGAAUAAGACAGGGUCCAACUCCGCGGCUCGCCGGCAAGAGCGGCGUGACCUAGGCGAUGGUGGCGGAGCCGGUGCUUCUCGUGUGUUGCUGGAGCACGGCGGAUUGGCAGGCGGCCUUGUCUACAAGCACAAGGUGAGAAAUAUGAAUUUGGAAAGAUCAAUCGUGUGGUCGUCCUCUUACUCAUUGCUUCCUAUCUCCAUGUUGACAGUGGCGAGAUCUGCCGAUCCGUGAGGACGAGUUGACCUGACCUAUUCUAAGCGGAGGGCACGCGACCACAUGGAGGCGGACGCAGCUUGUUGAUCUGGGCGACCUCCGGGGAGAGGGGCCGUUGAAUGCAAGUUGAGGUGAUACCUGCCGCCACAGGGGAGUGGUGGUGGGACAUGGACAGCGGGUCGCGUCUGCAGCGUUGUGGCGGGGUUAGGCCGAGGACGGCAGCAAGCUCUAUAGGUUUCUGCUACGGCUAAGAAGCAGCAGUUGUGCCUAUGGAAAGUAUUGAUACUGAAACAUGGCUUUGGUGGUCUUGAGUAAACAAUGGGAACAGUUGUGGAUGAUUUGAUAGCAUGAUGGGUGUGAGAUGGAUUGCCAGAGUUGGAUCUGGAGGUACAGGUCGUUGAAGAGGAGUCUUGGGGAGACUGAGAUCUCCAAUUUGGUGUUGUCGUGCUUGAAAUAAGAAUAUAUGGGGAGACUGAAUCUUAGAAAUUGAAACUCCAUAUAUUCUUAUUUGGUUUAGGAAGUUGAAUAGGAUAUUUUUUGAGACCUUCCAUGUUGUUUUCUUGCAUUAUAUAUUAUCUCAUGUAACUCGUUCUAAGAGUACCCUCCUUUGCAUGUUUCAGUUCAUUCCAUCGUCAUGUUAGUCAUGUACUAGGAAAUGAUAAAGUCAUUGCAUUGCUGAAACAGAAGAGUAGAUAUAGAUGGUAAUUGCACACAUUGAACAUUCCGAAAUCCAAAUGGGUUGAAACAGGUUUAAAAAUGCAGGUUAGUGAGCUUGACAUUAAACCAUUUGUGAACCGUUUUUUUCUCCCAAUUGGACUACAGUUCAUUCCACCGGCCGUCAUGUCAGUCAUGUGCUUGGAAAUGAUAAAGUCAUUGCAUUGCUGAAGCAGAAGAGUAGAUAUAUAUAUAUGGGAGUUGCAUGCAUUGAACAUUCCGAAAUCCAAAUGGGUUGAAACAGGUUUAAAAAUGCAGGUAGUUUAUGAGAUUACAUCAUGACCUGUUACUAAUCAGUUCAUGUGCUAACUUGUGUAUUGUGAAUCUUAUGUGCUCAAAGUACUUCAGAAUUUCAUGUUUUAUGUCAUAUAAUUUGGUCUUAUUUCUCCUUCAAAUGUAGGUUACUGAGCUUGACAUUAAACCAUUUGUGAACCGUUUUUCCUCUCAAUUGGACUACAGGGGUUGCAACUAGCCAUAGAAACAUGGGAUUUUCGUCAAUUCAGCCAUGUUGAUUCUACUUACAGGAUAAGCAGGUUUGAGUACUGGAAAUUAUGCUGUGCAGACGUGAUGUAUUAAAUUUUCAGAGCUGCUCAACUGAGCUUGAACCCAAAGAUUACAUCCAACCAGGUAAAGUACCAAACUCCCUUAGGGCUUGUAUUUUACCACCUACUGCUUAGUUCAUCCACUAACUGAUGUAUAUGUAUAUUAUGCAUUCAGUGACAUUUCUAUUACUACUAGAGUAGGUAUCUAAUUAUGCACUGGACAUACAUAUGGGGUUACACACUUUGUGAUGCAAGAUGGAUCUUAGUCUCCGGUUGUUGGCAUGUUACUAAUGACCCUUCGAUGGACAUGCAAUAUGCUUUGCAGAUCGACCAAGCUUAGACUUUUUUUAUAGCUUACUAAUGAUCCUUGAUGGACAUGCAGCUUUAAAUAUUUUUCAACAUUGAAUAUUGGUCUGCACAUCAUAGAUAUGGGUAUUCAAGAAUAAGCUGGGAAAAACAUUUUAGAGAAUUAGAAGAACUUCCGUAUGAUGACCUUGGCAGUCGCAGAAAGAAUAAACUAUGAACACCUGACUUGGUGAUUUAUGUUAGAUUGCUACAAGUUAUAGUUAUUGAAAGGAUAUAUGACUGAUGGAAAGGAUGCUUUAUAAGCCAUGUAACCGUUCCUUUGUACAUAACCAGUUAUUGUAAUAUGUUCCAUAUUUAGAUUUGAAGGAUCUUGGGUAGAUGCCAUUUUUGCAUGAUGGGAUUUAUGGUGAGAUGGGUGAAUAGUUGCACCGAGCCUCGGUAUAUUAUAACUAACAUGUAACACCACUUUUUAGAAGUUGGACCUCAAUUAGGACGUAAUUGAGCUGCACCUGACCGGUUAGGAGGCGCCCCAUGGGGCGCCCCAACCACUAGUGUAAUU